rnacentral:snoRNA from 1 species
CCCCUUUCAGGAUCACACCUGGAGAGUUUCCAGUACUCUUCCAGUCUUGGAUAUGGGAGGAAGAGUCAAGCAGAGGCAUACUCAUUCCAUUCCUAACUUGGGCAGUGGCUAGCGAGUGGAAGAAAAUCUGCUACAAGU